UACCAGCACCCCGAGUGGUCGGGACGAUUAUUGGGCCUAAAGCAUCCGUAGCCGGUACUGCAAGUCUUCCGUUAAAUCCACCUGCUCAACAGUUGGGCUGCGGGGGAUACUACAGCGCUAGGAGGCGGGAGAGGCAAGCGGUACUUAAUGGGUAGGGGUAAAAUCCACUGAUCCAUUGAAGACCACCGGUGGCGAAGGCGGCGUUCUGGACUGCAACUGACACUGAUGAGCGAAAGCCAGGGGAGCGAACGGGG
rnacentral:rRNA from 1 species